UACGGGGGGGGCAAGCGUUGUUCGGAAUUACUGGGCGUAAAGGGCUCGUAGGCGGCCAACUAAGUCCGACGUGAAAUCCCCAGGCUUAACCUGGGAACUGCGUCGGAUACUGGAUGGCUUGAAUUCGGGAGAGGGAUGCAGAAUUCCAGGUGUAGCGGUGAAAUGCGUAGAUAUCUGGAGGAACACCGGUGGCGAAGGCGGCGUUCUGGACUGCAACUGACACUGAGGAACGAAAGCCAGGGGAGCAAACGGG
rnacentral:rRNA from 1 species